UACGGAGGGUGCGAGCGUUGUCCGGAAUCAUUGGGCGUAAAGCGCGUGUAGGCGGCCAGAAAAGUCCGCUGUGAAAACUCGAGGCUCAACUUCGAGCUGUCGGUGGAAACUUUCUGGCUAGAGUCCGGAAGAGGAGAAUGGAAUUCCUGGUGUAGCGGUGAAAUGCGCAGAUAUCAGGAAGAACACCCGUGGCGAAGGCGGUUCUCUGGGACGGUACUGACGCUGAGACGCGAAAAGCGUGGGGAGCGAACAGG
rnacentral:rRNA from 1 species